rnacentral:rRNA from 1 species
UAAAGAUAUUAAGGGCAUACGGUGGAUGCCUUGGCACAAGAAGUCGAUGAAGGACGUGACAAGCUGCGAUAAGCUGCGGUGAGCUGCACAUAGGCGUUAUUAACCGCAGAUUUCCGAAUGGGGCAACCCGGAUGAGGUAAUGCUCAUCCACUUCCAUCUGAAUCAAAUAGGAUGGCUAGAGACAACCCGGAGAACUGAAACAUCUAAGUACCCGGAGGAAAAGAAAUCAACCGAGAUUGCGCUAGUAGCGGCGAGCGAACGCGCACCUAGCCUAAACCCAUGCAUGUGUAAGUUUCAGGACGUUGCUGCAUGUGGUGUCGUGGGGUCGUCUUUGUGGGAGCCUGUACCUCCCAUGCGCAGUUACAAAAUCCAUUCAUAGUCGAAGUGGUCUGGAAAGUCCUACCAGAGAAGGUAAUAGUCCUGUAAGCGAAAUGAAUGGGUCUGCGUCGAGAUGAUACCCGAGUAAUGCCGGACACGUGAAAUCCGGUAUGAAUCCAGGGAGACCACUCUCUAAGGCUAAAUACUCUCUUGUGACCGAUAGCGAACCAGUACCGUGAGGGAAAGGUGAAAAGUACCCCGAGAGGGGAGUGAAAUAGUACCUGAAACCGUAUGCCUACAAGCAGUCGGAGCGCUCUUGCAGCGUGACGGCGUGCCUUUUGUAGAAUGAGCCAGCGAGUUACGAUGUGCGGCGAGGUUAAGUUUUGAAACGAGCCGUAGUGAAAGCGAGCCUUUAAGAUGGCGUCAUAGUCGUAUGUCGUAGACGCGAAGCCGGGUGAUCUAUCCAUGGGCAGGCUGAAGCAGAGGUAAGACUCUGUGGAGGGCCGAACCCACUUCGGUUGAAAACGGAGGGGAUGACCUGUGGAUAGGGGUGAAAGGCCAAUCAAACUCGGAGAUAUCUCGUUCUCCCCGAAAUAGCUUUAGGGCUAGCCUCGAAUCGUUUACUUACGGUGGUAGAGCCACUGGAUUCGUGCGGGGGCUUCACCGCCUACCAACCGAAACCAAACUCCGAAUGCCGUAAGUCUAUAGAUCGGGAGUCAGAACAUGUGGGCUAAGCCGUGUGUUCGAGAGGGAAACAGCCCAGACCGCCUGCUAAGGUCCCUAAAUUCAUGCUAAGUGGCAAAGGAUGUGCGUUUGCCUAGACAACCAGGAUGUUGGCUUAGAAGCAGCCAUGCAUUUAAAGAGUGCGUAACAGCUCACUGGUCAAGUGGACAUGCGCCGACAAUUCACGGGGCUCAAGCAUGAUACCGAAGCAGCGGACUGAUAUUUUUCAGUGGUAGGGGAGCUUUCUUAUCUGGGUCGAAGCUGUGUGGCAACGCAUGGUGGACUGGUAAGAAGUGAGAAUGCUGGCAUGAGUAACGAGAGUGAGGCGAGAAACCUCACCGCCGUAAGCCUAAGGGUUCCUGGGCAAGGCUAAUCCUCCCAGGGUCAGUCGGGAGCUAAGACGAGGCCGACAGGCGUAGUCGAUGCACAACAGGUUGAUAUUCCUGUACCACCACGAAUCGUUAUGACGAUGGGGUGACGGAGAAGGAUAGCUGGGCGGGGUUCUGGACGUCCCCGUGAAAGCGUGUAGGGUGCGCAUGCAGGUAAAUCCGCAAGCGCUUAUGCCUGAGACGUGAGACGAAGCUCUAAGUGAAGUCAGUGAUUCCCUGCUUCCAAGAAAAACCUCUAAGCAGAUAUCGUGGUGCCCGUACCAAAACCGACACAGGUAGGCGGGUAGAGUAUACCAAGGCGAUCGGGAGAACUAUGGUUAAGGAACUCGGCAUAAUGACUCCGUAACUUCGGGAGAAGGAGUGCCGCUCAUGGGUGAUAGGGCAUGCCCCUAAAAGCCUAGGGCGGUCGCAGUGAAACGGCCCAAGCGACUGUUUAUCAAAAACACAGGACUCUGCUAAGUCGCAAGACGAUGUAUAGGGUCUGACGCCUGCCCGGUGCUGGAAGGUUACGUGGAUGGGUUAGCCUUUUUGGGCGAAGCUCUGAAACUAAGCCCCAGUAAACGGCGGCCGUAACUAUAACGGUCCUAAGGUAGCGAAAUUCCUUGUCGGGUAAGUUCCGACCUGCACGAAUGGCGUAACGAUUUGGGCGCUGUCUCAACCAUAGACCCGGUGAAAUUGUAUUAUUCGUGAAGAUGCGAAUUACCCACGGAAGGACGGAAAGACCCCGUGAACCUUCACUACAGCUUGACAUUGAUCAUUGGUUCUGUGUGUAGAGGAUAGGUGGGAGACCGUGAAGCACGAGCGCCAGCUCGUGUGGAGUCAUCCUUGGAAUACCACCCUCACAGUAUUGGUGAUCUAACGCGGCGCCGUUAUCCGGGUCGCGGACCGUGUCAGGUGGGUAGUUUGACUGGGGCGGUCGCCUCCUAAAAGGUAACGGAGGCGUACGUAAGGUUUGCUCAGAACGGUCGGCAAUCGUUCGUAGAGUACAAGAGUAUAAGCAAGCUUGACUGCGAGACCUACAAGUCGAGCAGAGACGAAAGUCGGUUCUAGUGAUCCGGCGGCUCAGAGUGGAAUGGCCGUCGCUCAACGGAUAAAAGGUACUCCGGGGAUAACAGGCUGAUCUUGCCCAAGAGUCCACAUCGACGGCAAGGUUUGGCACCUCGAUGUCGGCUCAUCGCAUCCUGGGGCUGAAGUCGGUCCCAAGGGUUGGGCUGUUCGCCCAUUAAAGCGGUACGCGAGCUGGGUUCAGAACGUCGUGAGACAGUUCGGUCCCUAUCCUCCGCGGGCGUAAGAGAAUUGAGAAGAGCUGCCCCUAGUACGAGAGGACCGGGGUGGACGAACCUCUGGUGUCGCAGUUGUUGACCAACAGCAUAGCUGCUUAGCUACGUUCGGAUCGGAUAACCGCUGAAAGCAUCUAAGUGGGAAGCCGACUUCAAGAUGAGUUCUCUUUUUGGUAAGACCCCUUGUAGACUACGAGGUCGAUAGGCUGCAGCUGCAAGCGUUGCAAGGCGUUCAGGCGAGCAGUACUAAUUGGUCGAGCUCUUUAUCUC